rnacentral:rRNA from 1 species
AGGGCACCACCAGGAGUGGAGCCUGCGGCUUAAUUUGACUCAACACGGGAAAACUCACCCGGCCCGGACACCGUAAGGAUUGACAGAUUGAGAGCUCUUUCUUGAUUCGGUGGGUGGUGGUGCAUGGCCGUUCUUAGUUGGUGGAGCGAUUUGUCUGGUUUAUUCCGAUAACGAACGAGACUCCAACCUACUAACUAGUGGGAGGAUCUUUAUGUCCUCAGCACUUCUUAGAGGGACAAGCGGUGUUUAGCCGCAUGAGAAGGAGCAAUAACAGGUCUGUGAUGCCCUUAGAUGUCCGGGGCUGCACGCGCGCUACACUGAAGGAAUCAGCGUGCUAGAAAACCUUGUUUGACAUGGCUAGGUAACCCAAUGAAAAUCCUUCGUGAUAGGGAUCGGGACUUGCAAAUGUGUCCCUUGAACGAGGAAUUCCCAGUAAGUGCGGGUCAUAAGCUCGCGUUGAUUACGUCCCUGCCCUUUGUACACACCGCCCCGUCGCUGCCCGGAACUGAGCAGUUUCGA